CAAACAUAAACCAGAUCUAAAAAAACCAAAAAAAAGCUCUCGUUUUCCAUCACUUCUGCACCUCAUCUUUUGUUUUCCAUCAUCUCCGUUACCAAACAAAACAAGUAUCAUCGUCUUCAUCUUCUUUAUACACCGUUUCACCGAAAAUAAAUCUGCGUUUGAAUUUAAAUCUGAUAAAUUAUAUUAUUCAUGUCGAUUGAUUUAAAAGAAAUAGGGUUUGCUACUGCGAUUUGAUGAAUAAUUGAAGUUGUGGAGAAGUAGGGUGUGAUAUUGAUUAUUGGAGAAUAAUGGUAUUGGUGGUCGAUGUUGUGGGUGUCGAAUUUGGGAUCUGACUUGAAGCUGCUGUCAUGGAUUGUGUUGAUGGCAGUGAGGAGAAAAGAGUUCAAGUUUUCUGGUGGUAUUUGGUUUGAUUUAGUGGUGGUGUUAUUCAGUUCUUGGUUGUAAGAAUCAAAGAAGAUGAAUUUGAGAUGGGAUCGAUGGAUGGGUUUGUUUUAGAGAAGUGAAGAAAUUGCAAUCGAUCGAUGAAGAUGAAUAAGAUGGUUCCAUGUUGAAUCUGGUGAUGAUAAAUUUCGUUGAUUCGUCUUUGACGAGGCAUUAGAUGAUCCAUAUUUUCAUGGUUUGGCAAAUGUGGACCGUGAACCAUCAACGCAACCCAUCUCAAAAUUUGAGUUUGAGUUUGAAAGGACGAAAUUGUCGAAGGAAGAUGUACGGGAAUUAAUUUACCGAGAGAUAUUGGAGUAUCAUCCCCAAAUGCUUCAGGAAUACCUGAAUGGUGCAGAUCAAACUAGCUUCCUGUACCCAAGUGGAGUUGAUCGUUUCAAACGACAGUUUGCUCAUUUGGAGGAGCAUUAUGGUAAAAGCGGUGAGAGAAGCACUCCUCCACUUCAGAUACAACAUGCGUCUUUACCUAGGUUUAGUCAAGUUGUGGACCCUGUGACCUACAAAUAACCCCAUCAAACGAUGGUUCAUGGCAGUUAAAAUGUGAAGCAUAAGUAUACUUUGAUGGGGUGAAAGGUAUUGGUUAAUGGAGAAUAAUGGCAAUUUAAAUUUACUAAAUUACUCUUAAAUGGAUAGGCUGCUCGAUUGAAACCUGUGAGAUCAAUACCUUCAGCAGUUCUUAAAGGUGUUAAAGGCUUAGCCAUUUUGACUGGAGUUGUUGAUAGCACUUGGCCUGGCAGAGAAGGCAGUGAACUGCAGGUGGUCUUGUAACUGCUUACAGGGAAGCU